rnacentral:misc_RNA from 1 species
GAUGAAGAACGUAGCGAAAUGCGAUACGUAAUGUGAAUUGCAGAAUUCAGUGAAUCAUCGAAUCUUUGAACGCAUAUUGCGCUCUUUGGUAUUCCGAAGAGCAUGCUUGUUUGAGUAUCAGUAAACACCUCAACCUCUUCUUGAUUUUUCAAAAGGAGGGUGGACUUGAGCUAUCCCAACAACCUUUACCGGUCGGCGGGCGGCUUGAAAUGCAGGUGCAGCUGGAUUUUUAUCUGAGCUAAAAGCAUAUCUAUUUAGUCCUCGUCAAACAGGAUUAUUACUUUUGCUGCAGCUAACAUAAAGGAUAAUUGUCCUCUUUGCUGACUGAUGCAGGAUUUUACGACACUUUAUGUGUUGUUCAACUCGAUCUCAAAUCAAGUAAGACUACCCGCUGAACUUAAGCAUAUCAAUAAGCGGAGGA